UUUUCAAAUUUUAUUUUUAAUGUCAAAUGUGGGGAGUUAUAUUGUAUCUGGUAUCUGAAACAUUCUUCACAAUUUACAAAUGAUGACCUUCAAUAUGGUGUGUUGACACAAUUGUGACAGUCCCUCCCCCCGAGGUGCCACCUGGAAAUGGGGUACCACGGAGCCCCCCUGACCCACCAGCCUGGGCUCCCUUUACACUGUACUGCUGUGAUCAGCCUGCCAAGCCCUCUCCCAGGUUCCAGCAUACACACAGGAUGAAGCAACCCAUCAUCGCCCUUCUCAAUGAACAGAAUGGAUUCUCAUGCAUAACUGCUUCAGAUGUGACCAGCUCACAGUAGCAGCCACAUGCCUGUUUAGCAGGAUACCUGCUGAUGACCACAGUUGCAUGGAUGUCCAGAGACUGGACCAAUGGAAAACUUUGUUCCUUUUUGAUGACAUCACUGGCUUCUGUGACAG